AUUGAACGCUGGCGGCGUGCCUAACACAUGCAAGUCGAGCGGUAACAGGUGUAGCAAUACAUGCUGACGAGCGGCGGACGGGUGAGUAACGCUUGGGAAUCUGCCUAUUAGUGGGGGACAACCCGGGGAAACUCGGGCUAAUACCGCAUACGCUCUACGGAGGAAAGCCGGGGACCGCAAGGCCUGGCGCUAAUAGAUGAGCCCAAGUCGGAUUAGCUAGUUGGUAGGUAAUGGCCUACCAAGGCGACGAUCCGUAACUGGUCUGAGAGGACGACCAGUCACACCGGAACUGAGACACGGUCCGGAC
rnacentral:rRNA from 1 species